AGUGAACGCUGGCGGUAGGCCUAACACAUGCAAGUCGAACGGCAGCACAGUAAGAGCUUGCUCUUACGGGUGGCGAGUGGCGGACGGGUGAGGAAUACAUCGGAAUCUACUUUUUCGUGGGGGAUAACGUAGGGAAACUUACGCUAAUACCGCAUACGACCUACGGGUGAAAGCAGGGGAUCUUCGGACCUUGCGCGAUUGAAUGAGCCGAUGUCGGGUUAGCUAGUUGGCGGGGUAAAGGCCCACCAAGGCGACGAUCCGUAGCUGGUCUGAGAGGAUGAUCAGCCACACUGGAACUGAGACACGGUCCAGACUCCUACGGGAGGCAGCAGUGGGGAAUAUUGGACAAAGGGCGCAAGCCUGAUCCAGCCAUACCGCGUGGGUGAAGAAGGCCUUCGGGUUGUAAAGCCCUUUUGUUGGGAAAGAAAAGCAGCAGGUUAAUACCCCGCUGUUCUGACGGUACCCAAAGAAUAAGCACCGGCUAACCUCGUG
rnacentral:rRNA from 1 species